UACGGAGGAUGCAAGCGUUAUCCGGAAUGAUUGGGCGUAAAGGGUCCGCAGGUGGCAGUGUAAGUCUGCUGUCAAAGAAUGAGGCUUAACCUCAUCAAGGCAGUGGAAACUACACAGCUAGAGUACGGUCGGGGUAGAAGGAAUUCCUGGUGUAGCGGUGAAAUGCGUAGAGAUCAGGAGGAACACCGGUGGCGAAGGCGGUUCUCUGGGCAUGAUCUGACGCUGAGGAGCGAAAGUGUGGGGAGCGAACAGG
rnacentral:rRNA from 1 species